UGCAAAAGGCACUUCAAUGAACUGUUC
rnacentral:piRNA from 1 species